AUUGAACGCUGGCGGCAUGCCUUACACAUGCAAGUCGAACGGUAACGGGUCCUUCGGGAUGCCGACGAGUGGCGAACGGGUGAGUAAUAUACCGGAACGUGCCCAGUAGUGGGGGAUAACUGCUCGAAAGAGCAGCUAAUACCGCAUACGACCUGAGGGUGAACGGGGGGGAUCGCAAGACCUCUCGCUAUUGGAGCGGCCGAUAUCAGAUUAGCUAGUUGGUGGGGUAAAGGCCUACCAAGGCAACGACCUGUAGUUGGUCUGAGAGGACGACCAGCCACACUGGGACUGAGACACGGCCCAGACUCCUACGGGAGGCAGCAGUGGGGAAUUUUGGACAAUGGGCGCAAGCCUGAUCCAGCAAUGCCGCGUGCAGGAAGAAGGCCUUCGGGUUGUAAACUGCUUUUGUCAGGGAAGAAAUCUUCUGGGCUAAUACCCCGGGAGGAUGACGGUACCUGAAGAAUAAGCACCGGCUAACUACGUGCCAGCCGCCGCCGUAACAC
rnacentral:rRNA from 1 species